rnacentral:rRNA from 1 species
CAUACCGUAACUUCGGGAGAAGGUAUUCCUUUGGUUGUUAGUGGACUUGCUCCACGAAGCAAUUAGAGGAGGCACGAAAUCGGGGGCUGCGACUGUUUACCAAAAACACAGGACUCUGCGAACACGAAAGUGGAUGUAUAGGGUCUGACGCUUGCCCGGUGCCGGAAGGUUAAUUGAUGGGGUCAGCCGCAAGGCGAAGCUCCUGAUCGAAGCCCCGGUAAACGGCGGCCGUAACAAUAACGGUCCUAAGGUAGCGAAAUUCCUUGUCGGGUAAGUUCCGACCUGCACGAAAAGCGUAACGCUGGCCCCACUGUCUCGACCCGAGACUCAGUGAAGUUGAAAUCGCUGUGAAGAUGCGGCGUAGCUGCGGAAAGACGGAAAGACCCCGUGAACCUUUACUACAGCUUUACACUGAACUUUGAACUUGUUUGUGUAGGAUAGGUGGGAGCCUAUGAAGCAGGGGCGCUAGCUCUUGUGGAGGCAACCUUGAAAUACCACCCUGACAAUUUCAGAGUUCUAACCUCGGCCCGUUAUCCGGGCUGGGAACAAUGUAUGGUGGGUAGUUUGACUGGGGCGGUCUCCUCCCAAAGAGUAACGGAGGAGUGCAACGGUACGCUCAGCGCGGUCGGUCAUCGCGCACAGAGUGCAAUGGCACAAGCGUGCUUAACUGUGAGACGUACAUGUCGAGCAGGUGCGAAAGCAGGUCAUAGUGAUCCGGUGGUUCUGUAUGGAAGGGCCAUCGCUCAACGGAUAAAAGGUACUCCGGGGAUAACAGGCUUAUUCCUCCCAAGAGUCCACAUCGACGGAGGAGUUUGGCACCUCGAUGUCGGCUCAUCACAUCCUGGGGCUGUAGCAGGUCCCAAGGGUUCGGCUGUUCGCCGAUUAAAGUGGUACGCGAGCUGGGUUCAAAACGUCGUGAGACAGUUUGGUCCCUAUCUUCCGUAGCCGUUGGAGAUUUGAGGGUGAGCUGUCCUUAGUACGAGAGGACCGGGAUGGACGUACCUCUGGUGUUCCGGUUGUCACUACAGUGGCACUGCCGGGUAGCUAUGUACGGACGGGAUAACCGCUGAAAGCAUCUAAGCGGGAAGCCCCCCCCAAGAUUAGAUCUCCCUGGGAACUUGAUUCCCCUAAAGGGCCGUCGAAGACUACGACGUUGAUAGGCUGGGUGUGUACAGGCAGUAAUGCCUUUAGCUAACCAGUACUAAUUGCCCGUGAGACUUGACC